AGAGGGUGCAAGCGUUGUUCGGUAUUAUUGGGCGUAAAGCGCGUGUAGGCGGCUUGUUAAGUCGGGUGUGAAAGCCCUCAGCUCAACUGAGGAAGGGCGCCCGAAACUGGCGAGCUUGAGUGUCGGAGAGGAUGGCGGAAUACCCCAAGUAGAGGUGAAAUUCGUAGAUAUGGGGUGGAACACCGGUGGCGAAGGCGGCCAUCUGGACGACAACUGACGCUGAGACGCGAAAGCGUGGGGAGCAAACAGGAUUAGAUACCCUGGUAGUCCACGCCGUAAACGAUGAGAACUAGGUGUCGUGGGUGUUGACCCCUGCGGUGCCGUAGCUAACGCAUUAAGUUCUCCGCCUGGGAAGUACGGUCGCAAGACUA
rnacentral:rRNA from 1 species